rnacentral:lncRNA from 1 species
AAGCAGGAAGCAGCGCCUUUCUGGAUCCUCCUCAUGAGGAGCGUCACUGCAGUUUGUUGGUUCACGCUGCAAAUGUGAAGUGAAGUGAUCAAAGGUUCUCGUGAUCAUGCUUCAACUGACUCUAACCUGACAAAUGCAUCCAAGCUGUUACUAUUAUUAGCUUAUUUGCUGUUGUCUGUUGUCAGUGAUGCUUCUUUUCCACUUUGAACGGAUUUCAGACUUUGCUCAUGAAUCAGUAACACGUCACUGACGCUGAGGACCACAGUGAGUGAGAGCAGAGGAAGCUCAGCCAGUGGAGCCUGUCGUCUGCAUCACUGCGUCUCCGCUCAGGUUCCAGAGCGACGUCUCCCAGAACUCUUCUAGUGGAGGUUCCUCUGAGUCCUGGGAACGCGUUGGCGUCGUCCUCCGUCUCCUGAAGCGCGUUCACAGUCGCUCUCUGUCUUUCAGCGCCCAUUCACCGUCAUCUUGCUGGAACCCAGAGUUUAGACACAUAUGAGCUGAGUGAACGCCCCACGAGCGAAGGAGAGGAAAUAAAGGGAGAGGAGGUGAGUCAAGGCCGCGUUGGCUCUCACGUCACAGACUCGUUUAGAUGGAAGGAAAGAGGCAGAAUCCGGAUGGACGGAUUCACAUACGCAGACGGUUUUAUUUCUGAUCGCGAUGCUUCCUUCAACAGAUCUUUUUUCGCUGACUCGACAGCAUCGACUGAACGGCGCUCACUCGCUGUCAGGAUCGGAACGACUCAGACUUUAAGUUGUGCGAAUGUGAAGCAGGACGAGGCCGACUGUGAAGGCGUCACUGGUGGUUUAGCUCAGGACACGCGAGGACGGCGCUGUGUGAACACGGGCGGUGGCUCAGACAGACUGAGGGUCACAGAGCGCUGUUCUCUGGUUGCAGAGGAGGUCACGGGUUCUACACCUGCAGACGGUCCAGUGGAUCAGAACAUGAACGGGGAGAAGACGCGAUGGUUCAGCACCAAACCAUCAGGAAAGACCAGUGAACUGGACCCAACAACAGAGAAGCGUCCACCAGAACCCCCUGGAGGUGACGCUCGUGCCUCUCUCUCCUCUCUGAACGACGUGUGAUUGUCAGAAAGCACUAUUUUCAUCAUCACUAUUCCAGCAGAGCCUCAGACACAUUAGACGUUCUUUAAACAGUCUAAACUCCAUUGUUUUAGCUUUGUGAUAUUUUCUGUAAUAUUUACAAUAUUUCCGUUUCUGCCACAGUUUGAAAAAUGAAUGUCAUGGAUUCAAUAAAUCAAAGCAUGUUUUAUUGAUUGUUUUAUUU